rfam:Aedes albopictus isolate Foshan contig123568, whole genome shotgun sequence.
UGCCCAGUAAAUCCUGUCCCUACCUCCUCGUGGUACCGACCAGAAACUAUGAGCGACCUUAGGGAAGAUCGGGUAACCAACCCCGGUGGGAAGUUUGGUCGUAGGCUGACAGGGGAGG